GGAGAGAUGGCUGAGCGGACGAAAGCGCCGGUCUCGAAAACCGGUAUACCUUCUGGGUAUCGUGGGUUCGAAUCCCACUCUCUCCGCCA
rnacentral:tRNA from 1 species